GCAAGUCGAACGCUCUCUUCGGAGAGAGUGGCAGACGGGUGAGUAACGCGUGGGAACCUACCCUUCGGUACGGAAUAGCUCAGGGAAACUUGGGGUAAUACCGUAUACGCCCCUCGGGGGAAAGAUUUAUCGCCGAUGGAUGGGCCCGCGUCUGAUUAGCUUGUUGGUGAGGUAAUGGCUCACCAAGGCGACGAUCAGUAGCUGGUCUGAGAGGAUGAUCAGCCACACUGGGACUGAGACACGGCCCAGACUCCUACGGGAGGCAGCAGUGGGGAAUAUUGGACAAUGGGGGAAACCCUGAUCCAGCCAUGCCGCGUGAGUGACGACGGCCUUAGGGUUGUAAAGCUCUUUUGGCAGGGACGAUAAUGACGGUACCUGCAGAAUAAGCCCCGGCUAACUUCGUGCCAGCAGCCGCGGUAAUACGAAGGGGGCUAGCGUUGUUCGGAAUUACUGGGCGUAAAGCGCACGUAGGCGGAUAUGUAAGUCAGGGGUGAAAUCCCGGGGCUCAACCCCGGAACUGCCUUUGAUACUGCAUAUCUUGAGUCCGGAAGAGGUGAGUGGAAUUCCUAGUGUAGAGGUGAAAUUCAUAGAUAUUAGGAAGAACACCAGUGGCGAAGGCGGCUCACUGGUCCGGUACUGACGCUGAGGUG
rnacentral:rRNA from 1 species